AGACAAGUUCCGUUUGCUAGAUAUUGCAGGAAGGUGGUUACCUUGACGAUGGAAAGUGAAAUCUGGAUAACAGUUUUAAUACAUCAUGUACGACAAGAUAUACAAAACUGAGGGAAUUAAAAGCAACGACAGGGGAACUAUUAAAGAUGCUACGAAGCCCAGGCUAAUAUGCUGAUUGUCGUGCCAGCCAAUCGUGACAGACCUGCAGAAAACACGCGACUAUUAAUAGUGAGAACGUCAUCAAAAGAAAAAAAAACACAGACUAACUUUUUCCUAUAGAAAAUUAAAUUUAGUCUGUGACGAAGCUAUGGACUUGGAAGAUGAAGAACUGACGAGUUUAUUCUUCAACACAACCCUGGUAGUAGACAGAUACGACACAGACGUGAAAAUUCGAAAAACAUUAUACACACACACACACACACACGUGUCUAUGACAGUCUAUGUAAAUGACAGUUUAUAUUAAAACGAAAACAUGGUAUUUUUUUCUACAUUUUAGCUUCUAGCCCUUUUCGGAAAUCGAGAACACGACCAGAGUUUUUUAUUCAACAAAAACAUAGGUUGUGUUUUUAUUGUAUUGCGAGUAUAACACUCCAAUCAGCACUUCAAAACCUAAAAAAACAAACGAUAUUUAACCAAUUUUAUCUUAACUAAUUCGUUUCAAGACGCCAAACAAGAAAAUGGGAAGAUACACAGACUCCUGAAGAAUAAAGGUAAAUCCACAUAGAGUUGAAUACAAGCAUUAAGUUCUUUAAGUAUGUGAUUUUAUACGUGUUUCCCUUUCCUCGGUCAAUGUUAUAACUCUAACAUGAUUCAAAUAAAUAUUUUGUCUUCCAGACGUGCAUUAAUAAAGAAUACUUUACCUAUACAAUUUUACCUAUACUUGGUGUGGAAACAAUGUAGUAACCAGAAAACAUUAUAAUUCAACUUAAGCUACAUUUAUGAAGUUCUAAGUUUUUAACGUAAAUUUAAUACAUGUAAGUAUAUGUGUGUGUGGUUUUUUUGAAGUUCUUAAAAUUUCAAACAGUUAGUGUUUUUAGUUUGAAAAAAAAAGCUUCUAGGAAACACUAUUCGUGGAACUCUUAUCUCGCGCUGGCAACGUGAUAGGGUAGACAGUCUUAACCUCUACUUAUGAUUUUCUUCCCCUCGAGCGGGCCCUAGCAAUAACCUUGACGUUAUAGUGUUGCUGUGAGAGAUAACAUCAAGUUACAGGUGUUUGGAGUGUGGUAUAAAAACACAAAUUUAGAAUUUCUGUUUUUUCCUUUUUGUCAAGUGAACAUUUAUCAUCUAGAAUUUUCACAACUUUUCCCCGUAAACAUAUUUGUAACGGUAUGUGUAGUUUUGACAAUAGAACAUUGAUCAAGCAAUGUGGUUUACUUCCUUUUGUACAACUUACUUAUUGUUCUAGGUCAUUCCACUUCAUAAUCAUAUCAGCUUUUUCAUGGGUAAGAUUACUGUAAAGUACAACAGUGAUAUUUUUAUACUGGUAGAUCAAGUAGUAACUUGAGACUUUGCCUUCCCUAAUUUUGCUAUUUGAAUGAUAAUCAGCGAUACGAGUAGUAUGUGCGCACAUGACAGGGACGUUUAUAGAACCUUCUACAUAGUUCUCUACUCUCUUAGUCUGAAACACCAAGUUAUUCAGAAAUAACUCUAAUUGAGGAGAACAUCUGGAGACAAGAGCCAGUUAAUCUUCAGUAAAAACAUUAUCUUCUGUCCAGUACAGUUGUUUGUUUUUAACUGUUUUAUGUAUUGAAUAAAGAUUAAUAUUCA